rnacentral:rRNA from 1 species
ACGAACGCUGGCGGCGUGCCUAAUACAUGCAAGUAGAACGCUGAAGGAGGAGCUUGCUUCUCUGGAUGUGUUGCGAACGGGUGAGUAACGCGUAGGUAACCUGCCUGGUAGCGGGGGAUAACUAUUGGAAACGAUAGCUAAUACCGCAUAAUAGUAGAUGUUGCAUGACAUUUGCCUAAAAGGUGCAAUUGCAUCACUACCAGAUGGACCUGCGUUGUAUUAGCUAGUUGGUGGGGUAACGGCUCACCAAGGCGACGAUACAUAGCCGACCUGAGAGGGUGAUCGGCCACACUGGGACUGAGACACGGCCCAGACUCCUACGGGAGGCAGCAGUAGGGAAUCUUCGGCAAUGGACGGAAGUCUGACCGAGCAACGCCGCGUGAGUGAAGAAGGUUUUCGGAUCGUAAAGCUCUGUUGUAAGAGAAGAACGAGUGUGAGAGUGGAAAGUUCACACUGUGACGGUAUCUUACCAGAAAGGGACGGCUAACUACGUG